rnacentral:rRNA from 1 species
AGUGAACGCUGGCGGUAGGCCUAACACAUGCAAGUCGAACGGCAGCACAGUAAGAGCUUGCUCUUACGGGUGGCGAGUGGCGGACGGGUGAGGAAUACAUCGGAAUCUACUUUUUCGUGGGGGAUAACGUAGGGAAACUUACGCUAAUACCGCAUACGACCUACGGGUGAAAGCAGGGGAUCUUCGGACCUUGCGCGAUUGAAUGAGCCGAUGUCGGAUUAGCUAGUUGGCGGGGUAAAGGCCCACCAAGGCGACGAUCCGUAGCUGGUCUGAGAGGAUGAUCGGCCACACUGGAACUGAGACACGGUCCAGACUCCUACGGGAGGCAGCAGUGGGGAAUAGUGGACAAAGGGCGCAAGCCUGAUCCAGCCAUACCGCGUGGGUGAAGAAGGCCUUCGGGUUGUAAAGCCCUUUUGUUGGGAAAGAAAAGCAGCAGGUUAAUACCCCGCUGUUCUGACGGUACCCAAAGAAUAAGCACCGGCUAACUUCGUG